rnacentral:rRNA from 1 species
GGGAAGGCUCAGACAGCUAGGAGGUUGGCUUAGAAGCAGCCAUCCUUUAAAGAAAGCGUAAUAGCUCACUAGUCGAGUCGGCCUGCGCGGAAGAUUUAACGGGGCUAAACGUAGAACCGAAGCUGCGGAUGCACCUAGUGCAUGGUAGAGGAGCGUUCUGUACGCCUGCGAAGGUGAGUCGAGAGGCUUGCUGGAGGUAUCAGAAGUGCGAAUGCUGACAUGAGUAACGACAAAGGGGGUGAAAACCCCCCUCGCCGGAAGACCAAGGUUUCCUGCCCCAUGCUAAUCAGGGCAGGGUUAGUCGGCCCCUAAGGUGAGGCUGAAAAGCGUAAUCGAUGGGAAACGGGUUAAUAUUCCCGUACUUGUUAUAACUGCGAUGGAGGGACGGAGUAGGCUAGGCGAUCGCGGCGUUGGUUGUCCGCGUUUAAGCUAGUAGGCUGAGGACUUAGGCAAAUCCGGGUCCUUAAGGCUGAGAGGUGAUGACGAGCUCUCUUUUGAGCGAAGUCGUUGAUGCCAUGCUUCCAAGAAAAUCUUCUAAGCUUCAGGUUAUAACGAACCGUACCCCAAACCGACACAGGUGGUCAGGUAGAGAAUACCAAGGCGCUUGAGAGAACUCGGGUGAAGGAACUAGGCAAAAUGGUACCGUAACUUCGGGAGAAGGUACGCCGGUUUUGGUGAUGGGACUUGCUCCCUAAGCUGAGGCUGGCCGAAGUGACCAGGUGGCUGCGACUGUUUAUCAAAAACAUAGCACUCUGCAAACACGAAAGUGGACGUAUAGGGUGUGACGCCUGCCCGGUGCCGGAAGGUUAAUUGAUGGGGUUAGCGUAAGCGAAGCUCUUGAUCGAAGCCCCGGUAAACGGCGGCCGUAACUAUAACGGUCCUAAGGUAGCGAAAUUCCUUGUCGGGUAAGUUCCGACCUGCACGAAUGGCGUAACGAUGGCCACGCUGUCUCCACCCGAGACUCAGUGAAAUUGAAAUUGCGGUUAAGAUGCCGUAUACCCGCGGCUAGACGGAAAGACCCCGUGAACCUUUACUAUAGCUUCACAGUGGACUCUGAUAUUACUUGUGUAGGAUAGCUGGGAGGCUUUGAAACCUAGGCGCUAGCUUAGGUGGAGCCAAUCUUGAAAUACCAGCCUGGUACUAUUGGGGUUCUAACUCUGGACCAUUAUCUGGUUCGAGGACAUUGUGUGGUGGGUAGUUUGACUGGGGCGGUCUCCUCCCAAAGUGUAACGGAGGAGCACGAAGGUGCGCUAAUCACGGUCGGAAAUCGUGAGGUUAGUGUAAUGGCACAAGCGCGCUUAACUGCGAGACUGACAAGUCGAGCAGGUACGAAAGUAGGUCAUAGUGAUCCGGUGGUUCUGUAUGGAAGGGCCAUCGCUCAACGGAUAAAAGGUACUCCGGGGAUAACAGGCUGAUACCGCCCAAGAGUUCACAUCGACGGCGGUGUUUGGCACCUCGAUGUCGGCUCAUCACAUCCUGGGGCUGAAGCCGGUCCCAAGGGUAUGGCUGUUCGCCAUUUAAAGUGGUACGCGAGCUGGGUUCAGAACGUCGUGAGACAGUUCGGUCCCUAUCUGCCGUGGGCGUUGGAGAUUUGAGGAAAGCUGCUUCUAGUACGAGAGGACCGAAGUGGACGAACCUCUGGUGUUCGGGUUGUGAUGCCAAUCGCAUUGCCCGGUAGCUAUGUUCGGACGGGAUAACCGCUGAAAGCAUCUAAGCGGGAAGCCUCUUCCAAGAUAAGAUCUCCCUGGGAACUUGAUUCCCCUAAAGAGCCGUUCAAGACCAGGACGUUGAUAGGCAGGGUGUGUAAGCGUUGUGAGGCGUUGAGCUAACCUGUACUAAUUGCUCGUGAGGCUUGACC